AUCAUCAGUAGUGGUUAAUACUAUCUCAAGAUAAUAUUAAUUACAUUUUCCUAGAAACCUAUCAUCCAUUAUUUGAUCUUUUGCUGUGUGCGCAUGUUCGCAUGUGCAUGCACGAGUUGAUACUGGGGUCAAGUAGUGGAUGCGAUUUUAACCCAUAGCUGAGCGGGUUCUGACCGGCCCCAAACAAGCCGGGCACAGUUCCCACUUCGUUUCGGUUUCUUAGAUUAAAACUGCUAUGGGA